AUCUAAUAAGUCCAAGAAGGAGAAAUAUUUGUUGACUUUGGCAGGAGGAAAGCACACACCUACCAGUCAAUAUAGACAAUGUGGGCACUGAGGUGGUCCCCACGUACAAGUUCCUCGGAGUCCACAUUGACAAUAGACUGGACUGGUCGGUGCAGGUAAAUGCAGCACAUAAAAAAGGACAAAACAGACUGUUCUUCCUCAGAAGACUGAAAUCCUUUGAUGUUGGUCAUGAUAUGCUUUUCAUUUUUUAUCAAUCUGUUGUGGUCAGCGCUGUAUUGUUUGCUGAUGUGUGUUGGGGUAACAGCAUGUCUGUCAGGGACAGUAACAGACUGGACAAAUUUGUCUGGA